rnacentral:tRNA from 1 species
CGCGGCGACCGGGCGGCUCCCGGACCUCCGGCUCAUACCCAGGGGUGUCGCGGGUUCGACUCCCGCCGUCGCGU